rnacentral:rRNA from 1 species
AGCUACCAUGCAGUCGAACGGCAGCACAGAAGAGCUUGCUCUUUGGGUGGCGAGUGGCGGACGGGUGAGUAAUGUCUGGGAAACUGCCCGAUGGAGGGGGAUAACUACUGGAAACGGUAGCUAAUACCGCAUAACGUCGCAAGACCAAAGUGGGGGACCUUCGGGCCUCACACCAUCGGAUGUGCCCAGAUGGGAUUAGCUAGUAGGUGGGGUAAUGGCUCACCUAGGCGACGAUCCCUAGCUGGUCUGAGAGGAUGACCAGCCACACUGGAACUGAGACACGGUCCAGACUCCUACGGGAGGCAGCAGUGGGGAAUAUUGCACAAUGGGCGCAAGCCUGAUGCAGCCAUGCCGCGUGUAUGAAGAAGGCCUUCGGGUUGUAAAGUACUUUCAGCGGGGAGGAAGGCGGUGAGGUUAAUAACCUUGCCGAUUGACGUUACCCGCAGAAGAAGCACCGGCUAACUCCGUGCCAGCAGCCGCGGUAAUACGGAGGGUGCAAGCGUUAAUCGGAAAUUACUGGGCGUAAAGCGCACGCAGGCGGUCUGUUAAGUCAGAUGUGAAAUCCCCGGGCUUAACCUGGGAACUGCAUUUGAAACUGGCAGGCUUGAGUCUCGUAGAGGGGGGUAGAAUUCCAGGUGUAGCGGUGAAAUGCGUAGAGAUCUGGAGGAAUACCGGUGGCGAAGGCGGCCCCCUGGACGAAGACUGACGCUCAGGUGCGAAAGCGUGGGGAGCAAACAGGAUUAGAUACCCUGGUAGUCCACGCCGUAAACGAUGUCGACUUGGAGGUUGUGCCCUUGAGGCGUGGCUUCCGGAGCUAACGCGUUAAGUCGACCGCCUGGGGAGUACGGCCGCAAGGUUAAAACUCAAAUGAAUUGACGGGGGCCCGCACAAGCGGUGGAGCAUGUGGUUUAAUUCGAUGCAACGCGAAGAACCCUUACCUGGCCCUUGACAUCCAGAGAACUUAGCAGAGAUGCUUUGGUGCCUUCGGGAACUCUGAGACAGGUGCUGCAUGGCUGUCGUCAGCUCGUGUUGUGAAAUGUUGGGUUAAGUCCCGCAACGAGCGCAACCCUUAUCCUUUGUUGCCAGCGGUUCGGCCGGGAACUCAAAGGAGACUGCCGGUGAUAAACCGGAGGAAGGUGGGGAUGACGUCAAGUCAUCAUGGCCCUUACGGCCAGGGCUACACACGUGCUACAAUGGCGCAUACAAAGAGAAGCGACCUCGCGAGAGCAAGCGGACCUCAUAAAGUGCGUCGUAGUCCGGAUUGGAGUCUGCAACUCGACUCCAUGAAGUCGGAAUCGCUAGUAAUCGUAGAUCAGAAUGCUACGGUGAAUACGUUCCCGGGCCUUGUACACACCGCCCGUCACACCAUGGGAGUGGGUUGCAAAAGAAGUAGGUAGCUUAACCUUCGGGAGGGCGCUACCACUUU